CUCUUUCUCUCUCUCGCGCGCACUCCUCUCUCUCGGCCCAGCAGCGGUGGCAACGCCUUCCCCUCAGCUAGAUCUGGCGGGAGGGGAGGCGGUGGCACCCUCCCCACAGGGAGCAGGCGGCAGCAACGCCCUCCCCCUCCGCUAGAUCCGGCAGAGGAGAGGCAGCGGCAGGGGCGGUGGUGUCGAGCGGCAGCAACAGAGGUGGUGUCGAGCGGUGGCUCUUUGUGUUAUCUAUCUAUUCUUGAUGUGUAUUUUGUGAUUGUGUUCUUGAUGGGGAUGAGUAGCUUCGAUGGUUCCCGGUGGUUGGGAAGAAUAUUCUUGAUGUUCAUGUUGAUGUGUUCUUGGAUGUUC
rnacentral:sRNA from 1 species